rnacentral:tRNA from 1 species
ACGGGAUUACGGUCAGUUAAUAAAUUUUUUGCAAUAAUUUGGUAAAAUUUUGUA